GCUUCCGUAGUGCAAUGGAUAGCACGAAGGUUUCCGGAACCUUUGAUGCGGGUUCGAUUCCCGCCGGGAGCA
rnacentral:tRNA from 1 species